AUUCGACAAAUGAGUAAUUACACGAAAGUUUUUUAUUGUUUUACGUGGAGAUGCGAUCAUCUGCACGAUAAGGCACACGUUUUACGCUCUCUCACUUUCUCUUAGUUAAUUGAACAUCUUAUCAACAUUGAUUUUGUCGCACCCGUCGCGUCGCGUUAUCAGCUUUAUCUGAUAAAUUCAGCAUCUGCUGUACGAAUCUCAUAGUAAAGAGACUCAGGUGUGGAAAUCGUUUGAUUGAAUCAGUCAUUAUUGAACCUUUGUGUAAAUUUUUCAAUUUCGUUAAUUGAUUAUUGCAGUGGAAAUGGCGGAUUUUCGUCCUGACAUGAUCUACUUUGAUGAGCGCGGAUACGAAAAACAUCUCUUUUCAAUUGAAAACGUUUACCUUGAUGACCUGGAUAAAUUUCCAGCACUCGCUGAUGAGCCGAGAGCCUCAAACGAGGAAGCGGACGAGGAACUGGCGCACGUUUACGGGAAUGUUAGAGAUGCUCUUUAUUAUUACGAAGUCACAAGCGAGUCACCCUCUUUCUUGCUAAAAGAAAAGACCGCGACAAUCAGGAAGGUGGUUUACAUAAAUCUUGGAAUACCAAAGGAUCUUCGGACAACCAAUUACAACAGUAAGGCCUUUUUGGCGGCAAAACGAAUCCGCUCUCGUUUGCUUGUGGUGGGAUACGUGGAAGCCCGCCCUGUCACCUCAGGCUAUUGGUACGUGAGGGAUCCUGAUUUCAUCAAUGACCCUUUACCGUGUGUGAGUGCCGAGAGUGUCGCAGUCAAGUGCGGUAUCUCCGCCAUAUGGGUCAAGCAAAGCUUCCGCAGGCGAAAAAUUGCGACUACCCUUUUAAACUUGGUCAAAGAGCGUAUGUUUGAUGAAGAGCUCACUUGGCAGGACAUCGCAUUCGCUCACAUCCACUUCUCCGGGAAGCGAUUUGUCCAAAGUUUCUUCCGUAAACAAAUGGGCCCUGAAGAGGAUGCGGACAAGAGAUCGACUCCUGCAGAAAACGCGGAGAGAGAGGAUUGAUUCAAAAUCGGUCGUUGGUGGUUCCAGCCCAACGAUCAUAACAGAAAGAAAGUUCACGAAAAAGUCAGAAACAAUGGUGAUCUCGUGAAUUAGCGACACCAGAUUCUGCUUAUUUCAAUGCAAAUAAAACAGUCUAAACCUGAAUCAAUCUGUAGGCCGCUACAUCCAUAAUCAAUUCACCGCAUAAAAAUUUUCAGGUCAUAAUCUGGUCAUCGGACUAAAUCAAUUUUUUUUUCAAUACCCACACUGAAAGAAAUGGUUCUGUUAAUAGGGCUCCUGCGCACUUUCUUUGUUACGGCUACAGAAGUUUCUGUUAUGAGGAAAGACUCUGUGCUCAUGACCGAUGUUCUGUUCUCACAACAGAAAAGUUCUGUAAAUAUAUGACAGAGAAAGUGCAGGAGCCCUGUGAACAGAAUGUUCUGUCAUCAGUACAGACUAUUUUAUUACGUGAUGUAACAAAAUAUAGUCCGAAACUGCUCAUAGCGCCUUCGGAAAAAUUAUCUGGUAUACUCAGGAUGCCGUCAUAUUGUAGCCAGCCAACAGCACCUUCGCACAAGGAGCACAGUGCAAUGAAAAUAUUAAAAUAAAAUUUCGAAUCAAU
rnacentral:lncRNA from 1 species